UACAGAGGUGGCAAGCGUUGUUCGGAAUUACUGGGCGUAAAGGGCGCGUAGGCGGCCUUCUAAGUCAGACGUGAAAUCCCCCGGCUUAACCUGGGAACUGCGUCUGAUACUGGAGGGCUUGAGUGCGGGAGAGGGAUGUGGAAUUCCAGGUGUAGCGGUGAAAUGCGUUGAUAUCAUCAGGAACACCGGAGGCGAAGGCGGCGUCACUGGGGGUCUUCUGACGCUGAGGAACGAAAGCCAGGGGAGCGAACGGGA
rnacentral:rRNA from 1 species